UACAGAGGUCCCAAACGUUGUUCGGAAUCACUGGGCUUAAAGGGCGCGUAGGCGGCGAUACAAGUCAGGGGUGAAAUCCGGCAGCUCAACUGUCGAAGUGCCUUUGAUACUGUAUCGCUCGAGGGAGGUAGGGGUCUGUGGAACUUCUGGUGGAGCGGUGAAAUGCGUUGAUAUCAGAAGGAACGCCGGUGGCGAAAGCGACGGACUGGACCUUUUCUGACGCUGAGGCGCGAAAGCUAGGGGAGCAAACGGG
rnacentral:rRNA from 1 species